UACGUAGGGGGCUAGCGUUGUCCGGAUUUAUUGGGCGUAAAGAGCGUGUAGGCGGCCAUGUAGGUCCGGUGUGAAAACUCGAGGCUUAACCUCGAGAUGUCAUCGGAAACCAUUUGGCUAGAGUCCGGAAGAGGAGGGUGGAAUUCCUGGUGUAGCGGUGAAAUGCGCAGAUAUCAGGAAGAACACCAAUGGCGAAAGCAGCUCUCUGGGACGGUACUGACGCUGAGACGCGAAAGCGUGGGGAGCAAACAGG
rnacentral:rRNA from 1 species